rnacentral:rRNA from 1 species
CCUACGGGUGGCAGCAGUGAGGAAUAUUGGUCAAUGGCCGUAAGGCUGAACCAGCCAAGUCGCGUGAAGGAAGAAGGAUCUAUGGUUUGUAAACUUCUUUUAUAGGGGAAUAAAGGUAUCCACGUGUGGAUAUUUGCAUGUACCCUAUGAAUAAGCAUCGGCUAACUCCGUUCCAGCAGCCGCGGUAAUACGGAGGAUGCGAGCGUUAUCCGGAUUUAUUGGGUUUAAAGGGUGCGUAGGCGGUAUGUUAAGUCUGGUGUUAAAUGCAGAAGCUCAACUUCUGUUCGGCACUGGAUACUGGCAAACUAGAAUGCGGUAGAGGUAAAGGGAAUUCCUGGUGUAGCGGUGAAAUGCUUAGAUAUCAGGAGGAACAUCGGUGGCGUAAGCGCUUUACUGGGCCGUAAUUGACGCUGAGGAACGAAAGCCAGGGUAGCAAAUGGGAUUAGAUACCCCAGUAGUC